CUUUGGAAUAUUUUCUCGUUACUUCGUACUGCACAGACGAGAUGGACCAGCACGUGCUACUGUUGACGCGUCGUCGUUGCUAUCGUUGUCGAUAGUCGCAUCAACCGUACUCAAAUUUCACACGAGAAAGAUUUUGCUACAUGGCGGAAUUCAGCUUCGGUACAGAUAUGCGAUGUGCAGGUUUACCAAAUACAGAAAAUAGAGACAAAUAUAACGUAAUACGUGGACCUAAAAUACGUUCCAUCCAUUAUAGUGAUUUGUGUCGUAGAACGACCGAAAAUAAUCCAUAGCCAGUAGUAAUUUUUGACAAUUAUUUUCCAAAAGUCGUUAAAAAGUAACUCGGAGGUUGCACUAAUCACGGUGCCAGUCGUUCAUUCUGACCCACAUCAGCCUUUGGCCGAGAUUCGAAUUCUGAAACAAAACGG